rnacentral:lncRNA from 1 species
GAAAACAUACCCAACAUUAGUUCACUCAAAAGUGAUCUUAAACCUUCUCUAGAAUUUCUCAGAAACAAUCUAAGGCAAGGUUGAAGGUAAAUAUAGCAGAUUAAGCGUAAGGAAGCUUUAACCAUCGCUAUAAUAUUCGUUUCCUUAUUAUGUUGACUCCGGAGAUUCGUUAUAGGAAUACAGUUAGUUCUCUGACAAAGGUAUGUAGGACAACUUUCUUUCUUGGCAUGAUUUAGUAUUAACAUUUUUCUCUCCUUCAAGUAUUCUGCAUUUAUAAGGUCGAUCUAUUCUAAGCCUUUCCCGGUAACAUAACUAUCUUUAUAUAUGUGUCCUCUUACCGGUAACAAUUCUCUUAAGCUAAGGAGUCUUUAGAUAAUAUUUCGAAGUCAGGAAGUGUAAUUUAUUUUGAGUUGAUCAUGGUAAUUCCCUUGAAAUGGACGUAUAUAUAUAUGUGUGUGUAUGUGUGUGUGUAUCUAUUUUACUUUACUGAUGUAUGUAUGCAUGUAUGUAUGUAUGUAUCUAUUUUACUUUACUGAGCUGCGGUAUAGUCGGUCGGAUGCGGCACCUAUUGUGCAACCACUAAUUAGUUGGGUAUGAUGAGACAUAAUUUGAGAUAUUAUCGAGCCCUUGUGUGUCCAAGUACAAUGAUGUGUGAUGUGAGGUUACCGAGUCCUCUUGCUGCCGAGUAUACCGAGUCUUGUUGAGGCAAGGUAUAGUCAAGAUCUCCUGAGCCCGGGUAUGAUCGAGUUCUCUAUGAGGCCGGGUAUGGAGUGAAAUGUAUGAUAUGCCCCAAAUAGUGGUUUGGUUUUACAAAAUUUUGCGUGUACUAAUGUUUCAUGGUUAUAGUAGUGCACGCCCCUAGUGGCUUAUCCAUGGUAUCCAGGUUAAGCUUGUGUAUUUCUAUAUCUUAUGUUAUGCCAUUGAUUUAUGCUUGUUAUCUCUUUUGCAUACUCAGUAAAUCUUUUGUACUGACGCUCAUUUCUUUAGUCGUGGUGUUUAUGCCCACAGUUACAGAUAGAUACGGUGACGUCCCUCCCCAGUAGGGUGUUGUUCCAGUUGAUUGGUCGGUGCUCUCCACUCCUCCGAAGUAGCUGUUCAAAGUCAAUAGGUACUGAAGCAUGUGUUCUAAUUAUUUUUGGGCAUGGUGGAGCCUGUCCUGACCGAGUUGUGUAUGCGUAUAUCUCAUUUUGGUACUCUUAGAGGCUUGUAGACUAGAGUUUGGUUAUAUGUAAAAGAAUGGGUUGUAACCUUGUUGGGAACAAUUAUGAAAAUAUAUAACAUACCCAUGUUGUUUUGCAAGUUAGUUGUGCACCUUUUUAUUUUGACUGUGGCAGUAGCAUUUGGAGGCCUCGUUGGCUCAAAUUUGUAUGAUUAAGAAAGGAAUAGAAUGAAUACCGGUUCGCACGGGCCUUCAGGCAUCAUGUGUCGGUCGCACCUUCCAAUUGAGGUGUGACACCAUCACUAAAAUAUUAUUUAU